GACCCACAACCCAGAUAUAUGCCCUGGCAGGGAAUCAAACUGCGACCUUUCAGUUUGUGGGACAAUGCCCAACCCACUGAGCCACACCAGUCAGGGCUAUCCAUGUUUUAAAAUGACUAUUGAGUAUUCUGCUGUGCAUUUAUUUAGCCAAAGCCUAAUUGAAGGAAUUAAGACUGUGUCCAGUAGCUUGCUAUUGAAACAGCAAUGAAGAAUGACUGCAACAAAAUCUUUGAGCACAUUCUCGAUUAUUUACACAGUAUUCUUCAAGGGCCAGCCCACAUCUCAUCCUCCAGGAAGUCUACCGGAUUUUCAGUGACAUUUCCUGUGUCUGAAGUCUUAUGACAUUUCCUGCCUGUAUCAGCCAUUUGACACUUGAUCAUUUAUUUUUCAGAUGCAUGUCUUGCCUUUUCCACUAAAUACUAACAUCCCCGAGGGCAGGAAGAGGGGCCACUCUCGCUGAGGGCCUAGUAUAGUACCCACUAUUCGUAGUGGUUCAAUUUUACUGAUGAUUUGUGUAGUGCAUUGUAUUCUCAGAACUUGACAACUUUACUAAAUAAAUAUUUGUUGAUUUGAGCCGAAUUGUUGGGUGCCAUAAACCUCUGAGAAUAUAUGAUUCCUACAUAUUACUCUCAUAAUAGAAUAACAGGAAAUUAGAACUUGGAAAGAAAUCAAAUCUAAUUUUUGUUAAUUUAUAAGCAAUUUUCCUAUUGCUU